UAGAACCCACGAGAGAAGAGGAGCAGCGUGGCUCAGUGGAAAGAGCCCUGCGUGGGAUCUCCCCGUCUGGCUCGUCUUCGAGAAGGAAGGCCGGCCGGCGACACACAGCACGGAGACGACAUUUAUUCGGUUAAACACAUCCAGGCGACUUUCCCGGCGGUUCAUUUAUCUAAUACCUCUUCAGCUCUGCCUUCACAUUUACGCGGGGAGCCCGACCGGGGGAAACCAACCGCUCUCAGAGAAUUCAAGGAAGGAAGCCGCGGGUCAAAUCCUCCUUCGCCCUCCGUAUCCCGACGGUUGGGAAGCAAUCGCAACAAUAAUAAAUGCCAUCAUUAUAAAAUUA